ACGACCUUACUUGAAUAGGAUCUGUUCUAUAGGCUCGUACCUCUGAGUGUUAACAAAAAAAAAAAAAAUUUACAACGUUA
rnacentral:snoRNA from 1 species